rnacentral:lncRNA from 1 species
GGGCAGCAGAGGCGGUUCCGGCUGCGGCUCUGCGGGCGGGCGGGCGGGCGGGCGGCGAGUUGAGCGGGCCGGGGGGCGGGGAUGCGGAGCCGCCGUCGCCGCCUGAGAACCUGAGCGUCGCCGGGCCCCGCCCGCGCGGUCACCACAGUCUGAACGCGCCGCGCUUCCCGAGCGCGGGCCGGGCCCAGCGCCGGCCGCACCGCGUCUGGGUCCCGGCGGCCCGCCCCCCGCGCGCCGCCUCGCCCGCGCGCUCGGCGCUCAUGCGGGCCGAGCCCCGCCCCCCGGCCCGAGCCCGCCGAGCGCCCCCCGAGCCAGCGCGCGCCGUCCGCCCGCACCAUGCUCAAGUGCAUCCCGCUGUGGCGCUGCAACCGGCACGUGGAGUCGGUGGACAAGCGGCACUGCUCCCUGCAGGCUGUGCCCGAGGAGAUCUACCGCUACAGCCGCAGCCUGGAGGAACUGCUGCUCGACGCUAACCAGCUGCGCGAGCUGCCCAAGGUGAGCGGCCGCCGCACCUGCCAUCCUGA